rnacentral:rRNA from 1 species
AACGAACGCUGGCGGCGCGCCUAAUACAUGCAAGUCGAACGAGAAUGUGUAGCAAUACACAUGUACAGUGGCGAACGGGUGAGGAAUACAUGGGUAACCUACCCUCGAGUGGGGAAUAACUAGCCGAAAGGUUAGCUAAUACCGCGUACGCUCCCCGGACUACGGUUCGGGGAGGAAAGCGAUACCGUGGGUAUCGCGCUCUUGGAUGGGCUUAUGUCCUAUCAGCUUGUUGGUGAGGUAACGGCUCACCAAGGCUUCGACGGGUAGCUGGUCUGAGAGGACGAUCAGCCACACUGGCACUGCGACACGGGCCAGACUCCUACGGGAGGCAGCAGUAAGGAAUAUUGCGCAAUGGGCGACAGCCUGACGCAGCGACGCCGCGUGGGGGACGAAGGUCUUCGGAUUGUAAACCCCUUUCGGGAGGGAAGAUGGAACGGGUAACCGUUCGGACGGUACCUCCAGAAGCAGCCACGGCUAACUUCGUGCCAGCAGCCGCAGUAAGAC